rnacentral:rRNA from 1 species
UCGGGAAUCUUCCGCAAUGGGCGAAAGCCUGACGGAGCAACGCCGCGUGAGUGAUGAAGGUCUUCGGAUCGUAAAACUCUGUUAUUAGGGAAGAACAAAUGUGUAAGUAACUAUGCACGUCUUGACGGUACCUAAUCAGAAAGCCACGGCUAACUACGUGCCAGCAGCCGCGGUAAUACGUAGGUGGCAAGCGUUAUCCGGAAUUAUUGGGCGUAAAGCGCGCGUAGGCGGUUUUUUAAGUCUGAUGUGAAAGCCCACGGCUCAACCGUGGAGGGUCAUUGGAAACUGGAAAACUUGAGUGCAGAAGAGGAAAGUGGAAUUCCAUGUGUAGCGGUGAAAUGCGCAGAGAUAUGGAGGAACACCAGUGGCGAAGGCGACUUUCUGGUCUGUAACUGACGCUGAUGUGCGAAAGCGUGGGGAUCAAACAGG